rnacentral:lncRNA from 1 species
AGUCAUGCUCAUUCUUGAAGUGUAAGAGUUUCGUCACUGCAGAUAGCCUGGUGUGCUUCUCAUUUUCAGGAUACAAUGGAACCCCCGAUUCAAAUAGCAUCUUGUAGAAAGCAGCAGCUGAAUCAUUUGACUUUUUCUAAGCACUGCUUGAAGCAUGCUCGUUUUCAGCCCAGUCAAUAUUAGUAGGGUCAUACGUAUCAACCAACAUCUGCACGACAUCAUAGUUAUCUGAUUGUGAAUCCCCAUGAAUUGGUUGGUUGACAAUACUGUCUGUUAGUUCUUUCAACUCAAUUGAUUCCCCGUGAUAAAUCC